rnacentral:rRNA from 1 species
AUGUGGCACAAGACCGGCAAUACCUUGCUGGUGAUGGUCAAUGGCCGGCAGACACGCAGCAAAAAGGUUCUGGUGCUGCACACCAACAAGAACUUUGACCAGCAGAGGACCAACUGGGUGAUGCAACAGUACCACCUCGGGGACCUGGAGCAAGAGAAGGAGCGGGAGCUGGUCCUCUGCAAGAUUUUCUACCAGACAAACACUAGGGCCAGGAGUCGAGCAAGUUUCAACUGGGUUGUAGACUGCCUAGGCUUGGUUUUGUUUUUAACAGGCCCAGCCCAUGACGACAACGGGGCACAAAGAUCCAACAGGGGGGACGGAGUUGGGUCAAAGGGGAACGUCGCCAAUGGAUCUUCAUCGCCGCCGUCUGGAGCAGAGGGUGGAGCAGGACGGGGAGGGGCAGUGGAGUUGGCCUACUAUGACCCAAAAGUAGACAGCAAGCGCAUAAGGGCUCCCGGGUCAGAUGUUGGGCUUUGUUGCCCUGGGAGGAGUCGAGUUGCUUAUUUUGAAAAUCCUGAUAUCCCUCCUUCUCAUAACUCCUUCUGGUUCUUCCUGAUCUUGUCUUCAAAGUCCAACCUAGCUUGGAACCGAAGGUCAAAAAAGGUCAUGUUUGUGGCUGAGACUGAUCGGGGUGAUCAGAGUCAAGAAGUUCGGGUGUCUGACGCCGCCGGAGUGGCGGACAUCAGGGAGAGGUGGCUGACGCAGCCGGACUGGCGUACGUCAGGCGGCUGGUGGUGGCCGCCACCGGCCGGGCCGAUGGCGGGGGCAGGGGCUCGGAGCGGUAUCCCCAAAUGGCGUCUGUGA